rnacentral:rRNA from 1 species
AUACGUAGGGGGCAAGCGUUAUCCGGAUUUACUGGGCGUAAAGGGAGCGUAGGCGGAAGGCCAAGUCUGAUGUGAAAGCCCGCGGCUUAACUGCGGGACUGCAUUGGAAACUGGUCAUCUGGAGUGCUGGAGGGGUAAGCGGAACUGCUGGUGUAGUGGUGAAAUGCGUAGAUAUUAGGAGGAACACCGGUGGCGAAGGCGGCUUACUGGACUGUAACUGACGUUGAGGCUCGAAAGCGUGGGGAGCAAACAGGAUGAGAUACCCUGGUGGUCCACGCUGUAAUCGAUGAAUACUAGGUGUGGGGGGACUGACCCCUUCCGUGCCGGAGUAAACACAAUAAGUAUUCCACCUGGGGAGUACGGCCGCAAGGUUGAAACUCAAAUGAAUUGGCGGGG